GAAAAUUCCUUUCUGUCUGGCCUUGAAGAAGGUUGCAGCUCUGUGGCCACCCAAGGACAAAGGGGGAGGCACAUCCCAGUGCUGAGACAGCAGAUGUCUACACACGCCUGCUUCCAGGGAGACUCCACUCUCACUUUCCCAUUUGCUCCGGAGAUCCUCCCCACGCCAUCUGUGUCCUGCUCCCACCCUGGGCACCUGCUUACCUGGCCUGGAGGACCUGCCCUGUGCUCCUCUGCGCUGCGCUCCCAGAGCUCUCCCCUUGGCGCAGAACCCCUCUCACAGGCCGCACUGUGGGGUUCGUGGGCUGCCUGAUGUCUCCAGGCCCCAGACUUUAGCCCUCCCGCUUUCCUAAGCCCUCCCAGUUGUGGGAGACUC